AACUAAAAUGCCAGCUUAAAAAAAUAUGUCUUUAGUUGCUGUCUAAAAGCAUCCACAGAAUCCAGAGAGUGAAGGGAACAGGGAAGCUCAUACCAGAGGUGAGGUGCCACAUCUUUAAUGGAUCUGUCCCCUUGAGUUUUGAAACAAGUACAGGGAACCAUCAGCAGGUUCUGAUUGGAAGACCUCAAGCUCCUGCUGGAAACAUAAGGUUAGAUCAGGUUCUUAAUGUAUUCCGGUGCCUGCCCAUGUAAAGCUCUAAAGGUCAGCACUAGGAUUUUCUAAUUUAUCCUGUAAAUAUCAGGGAGUCAUUGUAGAGACUUGAGGAUAGGAGUAAUAUGAGUUCUCCUGUGGGUGCGGGUAUAUCCACACACCU